CCUACGGGAGGCAGCAGUGAGGAAUAUUGGUCAAUGGGCGGAAGCCUGAACCAGCCAAGUCGCGUGAGGGAUUAAGGCCCUGCGGGUCGUAAACCUCUUUUGCCGGGGAGCAGAGGUCCGGACGUGUCCGGGCCGGGAGAGUACCCGGAGAAAAAGCAUCGGCUAACUCCGGGCCAGCAGCCGCGGUAAUCCGGGGGAUGCGAGCGUUAUCCGGAUUUAUGGGGUUUAAAGGGUGCGUAUGCGGGCAUUUAAGCCGGCGGUCAAAUGUCGGGGCUCAACCCCGGCCUGACGUCGGAACUGGGAGCCUUGAGUGGGCGAGAAGUAUGCGGAAUGCGUGGUGUAGAGGUGAAAUGCAUAGAUA
rnacentral:rRNA from 1 species